rnacentral:rRNA from 1 species
GAUGAACGCUGGCGGCGUGCCUAAUACAUGCAAGUCGAGCGAACAGACGAGGAGCUUGCUCCUCUGACGUUAGCGGCGGACGGGUGAGUAACACGUGGAUAACCUACCUAUAAGACUGGGAUAACUUCGGGAAACCGGAGCUAAUACCGGAUAAUAUAUUGAACCGCAUGGUUCAAUAGUGAAAGACGGUUUUGCUGUCACUUAUAGAUGGAUCCGCGCCGCAUUAGCUAGUUGGUAAGGUAACGGCUUACCAAGGCAACGAUGCGUGGCCGACCUGAGAGGGUGAUCGGCCACACUGGAGCUGAGACACGGUCCAGACUCCUACGGGAGGCAGCAGUAGGGAAUCUUCCGCAAUGGGCGAAAGCCUGACGGAGCAACGCCGCGUGAGUGAUGAAGGUCUUCGGAUCGUAAAACUCUGUUAUUAGGGAAGAACAAAUGUGUAAGUAACUAUGCACGUCUUGACGGUACCUAAUCAGAAAGCCACGGCUAACUACGUG